rnacentral:rRNA from 1 species
CUACGUGCCAGCAGCCGCGGUAAUACGGAGGGUCCGGGCGUUAUCCGGAUUUAUUGGGUUUAAAGGGAGCGUAGGCGGAUUGUUAAGUCAGCGGUUAAAGGGUGUGGCUCAACCAUGCAUUGCCGUUGAAACUGGCGAUCUUGAGUGCAGACAGGGAUGCCGGAAUUCGUGGUGUAGCGGUGAAAUGCUUAGAUAUCACGAAGAACUCCGAUUGCGAAGGCAGCUGACGGGAGCGCAACUGACGCUUAAGCUCGAAGGUGCGGGUAUCGAACAGGAUUAGAUACCCUGGUAGUCCGCACAGUAAACGAUGGAUGCCCGCUGUUGGUACCUGGUAUCAGCGGCUAAGCGAAAGCAUUAAGCAUCCCACCUGGGGAGUACGCCGGCAACGGUGAAACUCAAAGGAAUUGACGGGGGCCCGCACAAGCGGAGGAACAUGUGGUUUAAUUCGAUGAUACGCGAGGAACCUUACCCGGGCUUGAAUUGCAGAGGAAGGAUUUAGAGAUA